rnacentral:rRNA from 1 species
CUACUGGGGUUUCUAAUCCCGUUCGCUCCCCACGCCUUCGUGCCUCAGCGUCAGGUGUAUCCCAGUUGGCCGCCUUCGCCACGGGUGUUCCUCCCGAUCUCUACGCAUUUCACCACUACACCGGGAAUUCCACCAACCCCUGAUACCCUCAAGCUCACCCGUCCUCGACGACCCUCCCCGGUUGAGCCGGGGGCUUUCACGCCGAGCGCGAUGAGCCGCCUGCGCACGCUUUACGCCCAGUAACUCCGGACAACGCUCGACCCCUACGUAUUACCGCGGCGGCUGGCAC